GUUCCCCUGCUGGGUUGGUGAUUGGCAGGUAGUUUGUUGAGCCAACAGCCUAUCCUAGGCGGUUAGAUACCUGCCGAGGGGUGGAAAGAGGGUCAAAUCUUUUUCCCGAACAAGGCAGGCGAAACCACCACCUGAGACACUCAGGUUCAAUAAACCCUGCUCACACGGCACAUGCGGGGGAUUU
rnacentral:other from 1 species